rnacentral:lncRNA from 1 species
CCCGCCCGGACCUCCGUCCUGCUGCCGGGAGCAGCGGCCGGUGACCCCCAGUUGCCCCGCCCGCAGUCCCUGGUAGGUCUCUUCCUCCACCUCUUCUCUCUCCCCCCUCCCACACACGCACUUCUCUUUUCUUGAACCCUAACCUCACUAAAUCAUCAGAUUUAGUACCGGAUCGACCUCAAGCACACGGGAUCUGGACACCUCCAGAGGAGAUUGACAUCUUGACCAUCUCUGCACCUUAUCCCUGUUGAGGGCAAAUUUUUGGCAAGGUUCGUCUAACUAAGCUUUUACAUUUGUACCAAUGGAAAUCUCUGUUCCAAGUUAAUUAGCUCCUGAUGCAUACCCCAUUGUCGUGUACUCCCUGUUAAGAAAGAGAUGAUGCUCGUGUACUUGUAAUUGCUGCCGUAUUUGGGAGAGCAAGACGUGCCAUUCCAUUCCAAGUAGCAGAACAUAGAGCCAGUUGUACUUGCUAGUAAUAGUGCAUCUCUGGCUGGCUCUUGCCGCAAGUUGAUUAGGAUUUGCAGAAAUUGGAUCUUUGAUAGGAACUUUAAAAGAUGCAAAUAUGGCAGGUUUUAGACGUAAUGGUUUGAUUACGUUCUGCUGCUCUUUGUAAUGCAGCUAUGUUUUAGCCUUUUAGGACAAAUAUUGCCAAAGAUGGGAAAGGUUGCUCUGUUUUCAUUUUAGACUCUAAAAAGCGCGCAAGAGCUCUGGAGAGGGUGUGUUAUCAGUUCUUACAAAAGUCAGAUUCACCAUAUUUUGCAUUCAUUAUUCAGGUCUGCUGCUAGCUCAAUAAGUUUAGGAAUAGAUUGAUCUGUUGUGGUUUUUGUAGCCUCUUAUAGAAAACAUUAGCAGACUGCUACGUUGGCCGGUGCUAAUUAAUUAGUAUGUGGGUUAACUUUCAGGUUGAAAUAUUUAGUCGAGUUGCCUAUAUGCAUAUUGGUUGUUGGUCCAUCCGGUUGCACUUUUCAGAAAUUAAGCUCCUAUAUAACCACAUAUACACUAAGCUGGGUAUGCAUAGCAUCAUCAUCAUAUGCAUAGCAGUGCAGUGCGCACACUGCACACACACUCCCUGUCUCGUUAAACCACAUGCAUAUAACCAUCUUAUUUGUCCAACAUGAAUCGGCUCUAACAAGAUGUUUUUUUUUUUCAAUUUUCAUUUACUUCUCAAUAUAGAUGUCGGACUUGCACGUUAACAUCAUUGCAUCAUGAUGAGAGGAGGAAGAAAAGAAAGAGGGCAGCAGCUGGAUUUUUUGUGUCGGUUGUCGUGAUAGUUCAACACACCUAUUGUCGGAGGAGGAUUAGAGAGCUUGAUGAUUUCAGCGAGGAUGAGACGGAGAUUAAGAUUAGAAAGAAUAUGCUUAAAUAAAUUUAUCAAGGUUCUAAUAAGUACUGUUAUGAUAGUUUGCGCCUAACUACAUGGUCCUUUGUGGACCUAUGCGCUAUCUUGCGUGAAAGAUGUGGUUUGUGCGACACUUUUGUGUAUCAGUCGAAGAAUCAGUCACAAUCUUUUUGCGAGAAAUAUUUUGUUUGCUGGAGGUAAUUAGAGGGAGAGAAUGAGAUAUAGGUAAAAAAACACAUUUGCCCUUCCUUGCGUCGUCUCCUCCG